CCAAUAGCGUAUAUUAAAGUUGUUGCAGUUAAAAAGCUCGUAGUUGAACUUCGGGGUUUACCCAUUGGUCAGGCUUAAUUGUCUGCACUGGUGAGAUGGAUCUCUACCUUCUGAGGAACUUUCAUGCCAUUUAUUUAGUGUGAUGGGAAAUCAGGACUGUUACUUUGAAAAAAUUAGAGUGUUUAAAGCAGACUAUCGUCUGAAUACAUUAGCAUGGAAUAAUGAAAUAGGACGGACUGAUUCUAUUUCGUUGGUUUCUAGGAUCACCGUAAUGAUUAAUAGGGAUAGUUGGGGGCAUUAGUAUUCAAUUGUCAGAGGUGAAAUUCUUGGAUUUAUUGAAGACUAACGACUGCGAAAGCAUUUGCCAAGGAUGCUUUCAUUAAUCAAGAACGAAAGUUAGGGGAUCGAAGACGAUCAGAUACCGUCGUAGUCUUAACCAUAAACUAUGCCGACUAGGGAUCGGACGAAGUUAAUUUUAUAAUGACGCGUUCGGCACCUUACG
rnacentral:rRNA from 1 species